rnacentral:rRNA from 1 species
AGUGAACGCUGGCGGUAGGCCUAACACAUGCAAGUCGAACGGCAGCACAGUAAGAGCUUGCUCUUACGGGUGGCGAGUGGCGGACGGGUGAGGAAUACAUCGGAAUCUACUUUUUCGUGGGGGAUAACGAAGGGAAACUUACGCUAAUACCGCAUACGACCUACGGGUGAAAGCAGGGGAUCUUCGGACCUUGCGCGAUUGAAUGAGCCGAUGUCGGAUUAGCUAGUUGGCGGGGUAAAGGCCCACCAAGGCGACGAUCCGUAGCUGGUCUGAGAGGAUGAUCAGCCACACUGGAACUGAGACACGGUCCAGACUCUUACGGGAGGCAGCAGUGGGGAAUAUUGGACAAUGGGCGCAAGCCUGAUCCAGCCAUACCGCGUGGGUGAAGAAGGCCUUCGGGUUGUAAAGCCCUUUUGUUGGGAAAGAAAAGCAGCAGGUUAAUACCCCGCUGUUCUGACGGUACCCAAAGAAUAAGCACCGGCUAACUUCGUG